UCUAUCAUUUACUAGGUAUAUAAUAAUAAUAUAUUCACAUGUUCUAUAUUUUGCUCUUAUAAUUUUGGAUUUUGUAUAUUAUAUACAAUUUAACUACCUACUAUUUUAUAUCUAAGGAUACCUAACAAAUAAUGCGGCUCCCAGUAAUACGCUAUUGUUGAUUGUUAUCAUCUAUCUGUUGUCGCUAUAUUUUGGAUGUUGGGAAGGUAUAGUAUAUUAUAGGGUGGUUACAAAAAUCAUA